AGGAUGAACGCUGGCGGCGUGCCUAACACAUGCAAGUCGAACGUCCUGUCUCGCAAGAGGCAGGGAGUGGCGGACGGGUGAGUACCACGUGGGUCAUCUACCGUGAGGUGAGGAAUACCGGCGAGAAAUCGCCGACAAGACCGCAUAGGCUCGAUGCAAGUCGAGCAAAGCUCUUUCGAGAGAGGGAGCGCCACACGAGGAGCCUGCGCCCGAUUAGCUAGCUGGUGGAGUAACGGUUCACCAGGGCGACGAUCGGUAGCUGGUCUGAGAGGACGAUCAGCCACACUGGGAUUGAGAACGGCCCAGACUCCUACGGGGGGCAGCAGUGAGGAAUUUUCGUCAAUGGGGGCAACCCUGAACGAGCAACGCCGCGUGCAGGAAGAAGGUUUUCGGAUCGUAAACUGCUUUUCUCGGGGAAGAGAAUGGACGGUACCCGAGGAAUCGAGCCCCGGCUAACUACGCGCCAGCAGCCGCGGU
rnacentral:rRNA from 1 species